rnacentral:rRNA from 1 species
UACGUAGGGUGCAAGCGUUACUCGGAAUUACUGGGCGUAAAGUGUGCGCAGGUGGCUUCGCAAGUCGAGUGUGAAAUCCCCGGGCUUAACCUGGGAAUUGCGCUCGAAACUACGGAGCUGGAGUAUGGCAGAGGGAGGUGGAAUUCCACGUGUAGCGGUGAAAUGCGUAGAGAUGUGGAGGAACACCAAUGGCGAAGGCAGCCUCCUGGGCCAAUACUGACACUCAUGCACGAAAGCGUGGGGAGCAAACAGG